rnacentral:rRNA from 1 species
AGUCGAGGGGUAACAGGGAGCCUGCUCCGCUGACGACCGGCGCACGGGUGCGUAACGCGUAUAGGAUCUGCCUUAUACUGAGGGAUAGCCUUUGGAAACGAAGAUUAAUACCUCAUAGUAUCAUUUUAUGGCAUCAUAGAUUGAUUAAAGGUUACGGUGUAAGAUGACUAUGCGUCCUAUUAGCUUGUUGGUAAGGUAACGGCUUACCAAGGCUACGAUAGGUAGGGGCCCUGAGAGGGGGAUCCCCCACACUGGUACUGAGACACGGACCAGACUCCUACGGGAGGCAGCAGUGAGGAAUAUUGGACAAUGGAGGCAACUCUGAUCCAGCCAUGCCGCGUGAAGGAUGACUGCCUUCUGGGUUGUAAACUACUUUUAUAUAGGAAGAAAACGCCAUGCGUGGUAAUAUGACGGUACUAUAUGAAUAAGCACCGGCUAACUCCGUGCCAGCAGCCGCGGUAAUACGGAGGGUGCAAGCGUUGUCCGGAUUUAUUGGGUUUAAAGGGUGCGUAGGCGGUUUAUUAAGUCGGAGUUGAAAUCCCACAGCUUAACUGUGGAACUGGCUCCGAUACUGGUUAACUUGAGUAUGGUUGAGGUAGGCGGAAUUUAAGAUGUAGCGGUGAAAUGCAUAGAUAUCUUAAAGAACACCAAUUGCGUAGGCAGCUUACUGGACCAUAACUGACGCUGAGGCACGAAAGCGUGGGUAGCGAACAGGAUUAGAUACCCUGGUAGUCCACGCCGUAAACGAUGAUUACUCGAUGUCUGCGAUACACAGUA